UAUUAAAACAGAAGGCCCUUUUUUGAGGUGCCUUUCUACUUUGUAAAUAUUUACGGAACCAUGCCAUUGGAUUAUUUAAAACCUAUGAUUUUUAUUAAAUACCAUAUUUUACGAAAAGUCUUUUAAUUAACUAUCUCAUUAUUUUGUUGAAUCUUUCUCCGCGUGUAGUUAAUUUACCGGAUUCGUAGGCAAGAUAUUUUGGUUUAUUGGUGAUAUAAUGGAUCUUGAGGAGAUGUGAUUUUUCCAGGCGACUCGGGAUCUUACGGAAACUAAAGGGAGGCAAAGGACUGAAGGAGAAGAAGACAGAGAUCCUGAAUUGCGAUGUGAGAUUAUGGGAAAAUUUCUGAAAAAUUAUAUGAGAAAAGUAGAGAUGUGUAGUUUUGGGGAGUGGAUUCGGGAAAGUAUCAAAGGAGAAUCCAAACAGGGACACAAAAAACAUUAUAUCAAGGAACUUGAUUUUGCAAAACAAAGAUCUAUAAGGAUAUAGGAGAUUUAAUUGGUUUUCAUAUAUGGUUUAAAUGGUUUUGGAGUGGUCCCAGAUUUAAAGAGACAUUGUUAUCACAUGUGUACAUUGCGGUUGAUUUAGCAAUGGUUAAUAAUAUGAUUUUAUGGUUUUUCUUCAA